CUGUGGCAGCUGCACCUGCCCUGAGAGGAAGAGGAAGUCCCCGAGUGGGGGAUCCCGGGGCCAGCCACAGACACCCUGUGCAGCUUCCUCCUUCCGGGUGCAGGCGGGCCUGGGCAGUCUGAGUCCUACCUCAACCCCCACCUCACCUCCCUGCAUCCUCCUAACAUCUCUGCAGGGCUAGCCCAGAGGUUGGCGGCGGAAGGCCCACAGCUCCCCUGGCUCCAUGGGCAAUGACCGGACAGCCCUUCACCUCUCUGGGCCUUGUUUUCUCAAACUGAAACUGGAGAGGAUGACCCCAGCCUGGGACCUUCGAGGGCCUCAAAAGGGCUCUGGGCCUUGCGUGGCUGGACGAUGAAUGUGAUGGCUGGAACUCAAGCAGCCACAGUGGAUCAUAAGGGACGGUGUCUUGCUGUGUUGUCCAAGCUUGUCUCAAACUGGCCUGAAUCAAUGCUUCCACCUCAGCUGCCAGAGGAACCGGGAUUACAGGCCUGAGCCACUGCAGCCAGCCAGUUUGUUAUUUUAAUGUAAAUUCUUAGUAAACAACUCAGGAACUCUCUUGUCCUUUUAAAAUCCAUUUCAACUGCUGCUAAUCGGAGUGUAUAUUCAGGGCAACUUGAAUCUGUGCUCCUGGGAUGCAAUCCUCAAGCUUGGCCCAAAUAAAGUCUCCGCUGAUAUUAA